CCCUUAGAUGUUCUGAACCGCACGCGUGUUACAAUGAUGUGUUCAACGAGCAUAUAACCUUGGCCGAGAGGCCUGGGCAAUCUUUUUAAUGCACAUCGUGUUAGGGAUAGAUUAUUGCAAUUAUUAAUCUUGAACGAGGAAUUCCUAGUAAACGCAGAUCAUCAAUCUGCAUUGAUUACGUCCCUGCCCUUUGUACACACCGCCCGUCGCACCUACCGAUUGAAUGGUCCGGUGAAGCCUCGGGAUUGUGGCCAGUUCACUUUAUUGGGAGUUGGCUGUGAGAACUUGUCUAAACCUUAUCAUUUAGAGGAAGGUGAAGUCGUAACA
rnacentral:rRNA from 1 species